UACGUAGGGCGCAAGCGUUGUCCGGAAUUAUUGGGCGUAAAGAGCUCGUAGGCGGUUUGUCGCGUCUGCUGUGAAAACCUGAGGCUCAACCUCGGGCUUGCAGUGGGUACGGGCAGACUAGAGUGCGGUAGGGGUGACUGGAAUUCCUGGUGUAGCGGUGAAAUGCGUAGAGAUCGGUAGGAACACCAGUGGCGAAGGCGGUCUCCUGGAGCCCUCUUGACGCUGAUGCGCGAAAGCUGGGGGAGCGAACGGG
rnacentral:rRNA from 1 species